ACGAACGCUGGCGGCAUGCCUAACACAUGCAAGUCGAACGAGACCUUCGGGUCUAGUGGCGCACGGGUGCGUAACGCGUGGGAACCUGCCCUUAGGUUCGGAAUAACUCCCCGAAAGGGGUGCUAAUACCGGAUAAUGUCUUCGGACCAAAGAUUUAUCGCCUUUGGAUGGGCCUGCGUUGGAUUAGCUAGUUGGUAGGGUAAAAGCCUACCAAGGCGACGAUCCAUAGCUGGUCUGAGAGGAUGAUCAGCCACACUGGGACUGAGACACGGCCCAGACUCCUACGGGAGGCAGCAGUGGGGAAUAUUGGACAAUGGGCGAAAGCCUGAUCCAGCAAUGCCGCGUGAGUGAUGAAGGCCUUAGGGUUGUAAAGCUCUUUUACCCGGGAUGAUAAUGACAGUACCGGGAGAAUAAGCUCCGGCUAACUCCGUG
rnacentral:rRNA from 1 species